UACGUAGGGUGCGAGCGUUGUCCGGAAUUAUUGGGCGUAAAGAGCUCGUAGGCGGCCUGUCGCGUCGGAUGUGAAAGCCCGGGGCUUAACCCCGGGUCUGCAUUCGAUACGGGCAGGCUAGAGUUCGGUAGGGGAGAUCGGAAUUCCUGGUGUAGCGGUGAAAUGCGCAGAUAUCAGGAGGAACACCGAUGGCGAAGGCAGGUCUCUGGGCCACUACUGACGCUGAGAGCGAAAGCGUGGGGAGCGAACAGG
rnacentral:rRNA from 1 species